GCUUGUUGGGGAUUGGGUCAGGCCAGUGUUCAAGGGCCCCUCUUCUAGUACUCCCUGUUUGUUUUGCCACUGACUGAGCUUCUCCCCACAG
rnacentral:miRNA from 1 species